GCCUUCGUGGUGUAGUGGUUAGCACGCUCGAUGCGUAACCGCGAGGUCCGUGGUUCGACUCCCGGAGAAGGCG
rfam:Stegodyphus mimosarum contig21654, whole genome shotgun sequence.